AACUAGCCAGUCAGCCAGCCAGCCAGCCAGCCAGCCAACUAGCCAGCCAGCCAGCCAGCCAGCCAUCAGCCAGCCAGCCGGGUGUCUGUGUCUGUGUCUGUGUCUGUGUCUGUCACGCACGGAAACCCGUCACCGUUGCUUAAGAGUCUCCAAACCCAACCGAGAAUUCCAGACCUCCCAACCCACCUCCACACGGAAACCCCAGAGAUAGAGAGAGACGGCUUCACCAGCAUCAAAUGGCCGACAAGGAAACCUGUUUAAACACCUUCCGGUUUAUUACACGCGGUUUGAUUGUCUGCACCGAUGAUUUUGUUCUCUUAAUUGAUGACGUGCGGACCCGACACCACACCUCAGGGAUAGUGACUGUCCUCUCACUGAGCUCUGGCUCUGCUCUUGUGUUUUUUUUUCUGGUUCAGUCUUAUUUUCGUUCUGAAUGUAUUCGUGUGCGCGCGUGUUUGUCGCGCGCGUGUACGCGUUGCGUGUACGCGUCUUGUGUGCACGUCUGCGUUUGUGCGCGCGUGCGUGUGUGUGUUUACACGCUUGUGUGGGGGCGCGUGCGUUAACGUCAUGGAUCCGUGGAAACUUAUCCGGGGUGUUCCUGCGGUCGCUUCGAAGCUGUCGGAUAUCUCGCGAAGAGAUUCAGUCGACAACUAAGCCGGUCACACUCCUUUUCUGAGCAGUUCAGUGCCUGCGCGGCGCGGGUGCGUGCGCGCGUGUACGCGCGCCCGCGUGCGUUAACCGGUCGUGCGGACGUCUACGGUCACGCGUAGCAUUGCGCGUAUAUCACUCAUUUUGAUUUAAUCUCACGGGGUUUGAUGUUUUGCUGCAAAUGCCUGGUUUAGCCCCAGAGAGGCAAGAGUUGUCAAUAUUUAUUCUUUACCCGAAGGUAACAGCUAAGUUUAUCUGUGCAUCGAAUGAUUAAAACGCCAUUAGACGAC